UUAUUAAAACUGAAAAACAUCAAUAAUAUAUAAUAUUAUUUUUGGUGUAAUAUUUGGUGUUAUAGUUAGAGAUGACAAAAAAAUAUGACACCAAAACAUCAAAUUUGAUAUAAUUUUUACGCUAUAUUUGGUGUUAUGGCCGGAGAUUGCUUUAGUUCCAGAAAAAAAGUAAUAUAUGUCGAUUGCCGGAAAAAAAUAUGUGAAUUUGACGAAUAGCUUAACAGCCUAUCAUUUCCUUACAUUUUUUUAAUCAACCAAAUAAAACACGUGUUGCAUAAUACGAAAAUAAGGCAUAAAUUUUCAAAUAAAUAUAACAUCACAAUACUAAAAGGGCAAUAAGCUUAUCAGAGAGAUCCUCUAUGUCGGCAAUAAAAAUCAGCCAAUUAAAUAUCAGUAUGAUGCCACGUCACUCCAGCUUUGUCGCCCUAGCAUGUCUCUUCUUCUUCCCUUCUAUGUGUUUCUAACUUCUCCGAUUCUCAUCUGUAAGGUCGGGCUCCAGAUUUGUCUUCUUUCUAUAAAUCGAUCAAAGAAAAUAACAUCAAGAAUCAAAAACGGCUGUUUCUAAAGGAAUGAGUGAUACAGAUAAAAAAAAAACACCAUUCAAUGGAUAUAAAGGUCUUCUCUUUGUGGAACUACAAUAUCUAAGAAAGAUGAUGAAAGCGAUCAAGAGGCUACUUGAUUUCGAUUUUCAGGAUUUGGUUAUUCUCGAAGGUCUGUAUACGGUUUUCGGAAUCUCUCCUCCGCCACCACUUGCACAAUUUUUAAACAGAGGUCUUCACACUCUGUCUUUGCCAGAAACGGCCAAGCCGGAGGUCGCAACUAUCUGCAAAAGUUUGUGCUUUUUCCUCUAAUCAAACAUAUUUUAUUCAGACUUGGCCUAACAUAUUGUAUCAUCAAUUUCUAAAAUAGUUAUUGCAUGGAUGAACUUUGUGCUUCUUCCUCGGUCAUCAGAUAUGAUGAACUUUGUUUUUCCAGUUCAUGGUUUAAGCCUUUAUACCUUUUACGUUGCUAUUCAUAGUUUAUUUGAAUAAGAUGUUAUUAGGUAUUUUUCAAGUUGGGGGGGUGAAAGUUCAUGUUCUUCAUUUUCUAGGUUCAGAUUGCUUUCAAAGUUUUAUAUAUUGUAUUAUGUUUUGGCGAUGAUAGUAGCAGGGCUACUGAAAGUAUGUUACUGAAACAUUCAGAGUUCACUACAGGAACAAGAAAGGUACACGUUUAAUUGCUAGAAGUCAUGAAGGUUGGGUUUCUUUGACACAAGAUCAAAAUCCAUGAGCUUUAGCAUUUGGAUCUGGCUAUUUUUGGGAAAGAAUGAUGUAGAUGUUUCAAUGUAUCAGGAUUGUACUCUGGUUGAACCCAAAUGGUGUUUGAAUGUUUCAGUACGAGUCUGGGUUCUCCAAAGGAAUCAUACGAGGUCGGCCAUGGUUAUGGGUUGUUGUUUUAGAAUGAAACAUACAUGUAUUAUAGUUGCUCAGAAUAAUAUAGUUCUGGAGUGGUUUAUGUAUCUCUCAGUAUGUAAGUUAUCGGAGUUGUCGCGUUAAGGUCUGCUCUAGGUUAUGGUCAUUUGGCAUUUAUUUAUCAAACUAUGGAGCUGGUCUUUUUGAGGGCUCAUUUAUGGUUCUGGAUGGGUUUAUAAAGCUUUCAGUUUCAUUCAUUCUAUCAAGUUAAAAACACUCUAAGAAGGUGAUUAAGCCAAAAUCAUCACAGGAAAGGAGUUUAUUGAUGGGAAAUGAGUCGGUUGCUCUCUGGUCUGUACUUUUAAAAUUUUUGGUAAAUGGUGGUUGCAGAGUACUAUGAUAGCUAUCUGAUGCUAUAGCUCAAUCCGAUCUAAUCUUAUUUUUUCAUUGUAGUCAAGUAGUUAUUUUUCAUUGAAGUUAACUAGCUUUUUCAGUAAUGAAAUUAUUCAAUUUGAGUCUGCUGUAAUAUCUGUUGGUUUUGAGAUUAAAAAAAAAACUAAUACUACUCCACACAUAAAUAUUACUAUUAAUUUUUGCACUAACAUUAAUUUUCACAUGUCAUAUUCGACCAGACCAUAUAUUAGACCAUAUAUUAACGCCAAGAGAUUCUAUCGUACUAACCAAUAUUUAACUGUUUAUUCAAAACAAUCAAUUUUAGAAAUAUUAACUCAAUAAUGAAAACUUAGUAAGAUUUUUCAUUUUAUCAUAUUAUUUAACCAUAACAGUUUUAAUAUUGUGUUUAUAAAAUCUAUGAUUAAAAUUUAGUGUAAAUCAGUUAUUUAUCAAAUACAAUGGGAGUAUAUAAAUGGAUAUUUGCAACAAUUUUAAUAUGAUAACAUUUUUAAUAUUUUAUAUACAAAACUUAGGGGAAACUUAUCAUUAAAAUAUGUUUACAUUAUUUAUUAAUUAAAUACAAGACAUGCCAUUCUAAUUAACCAUAACAGUUUUAAUAUUUUAUUUAUAAAAUCUAUAACAGAAUAAUUUUAAAUAGUUAUUUAUCAAAUACAAUAGGAAUAUAUAAGUAAAUAUUUGUAACGAUUUUAAUAUGAGAACUGAUUUAGUAUUUUAUUUAUAAAAUUAUAAUUAAAAUAAUUUUAAAUUAGUUAUUUAUCCACUACAAAACAUACUGUACAAAAACAUUUAAGCCUUAGCAUAUAAAUCAAUAAUCAAAACUGAAUUGACACCGAGCAAAAGAAAUGAAACCAAACAAAAAAAUGAAACCAAAGCCAAGUCAACAAAUAUUUGAACGAUUUUUAUAUUUUUAGAACACAAAAGGUGAAACCAAAUCAGAACCUAACUGAGAAUCGAACAAUCCAAACUAUAUUUUAUAUUCCUAAAAUGUUAUUUUUUUUAAAAAAAAAUAUUCUAAAUAUACUAUUUAUAAACCUAACUAUAUAUACAAAAUACGGUUUAUCUACUCUUUAUCCAAAAUAUUCUACUAUCAUAAUUUCUUGAUAAGACUGAACUACAUGAAUAUGUUUUAUCCAAAAUUUUGAAAUUAUCCGAGCUAUCUGAGAUAACAUUAUAGGAAAUAUUUAUUUCAUCAUUCUCUCAUACAAAUUUGUUAAAAUACGCAAGUUUAAUUCAAUGAAAUAAUAUUAUAGGAAAAAAUCCGGGCGUAGCAAUGGAACCGAGCCGUGACUUUGAAUCAUUUGUAAUCAUCUCUCAAUAAAAAUUUUCAUAAGAUAGAGUGUGAAGUAAUAUUAUAGAAUAUGUUGCAAAUAUAUUCGUAUUGUUGCAAAUAUGUUACUGAGAUACACAUUAAGUAAUUCUCUGUUAUAUUGGUAUGGUUUUAAACUCUGUUUUUCAUGUUGUAAUUUUAUGUAUUUUAAAAAAUGUUAAGAAAGAAGAAGCAAUGUUUUUAGCUGCUAGAGCUUCAAGAACAGAGAAUCGACAUAUAACAAUGGUAAUGGAGACUGGAACCGAGUAAGAAAAGGGAGCUCCAGAGCUGGUACCUACGAACUGAUUGUGUUUUUAUAAGUCUCUUUGGCUUCAAAAAGUUGAUCAUUUCGUCAAGACUCUUUGGCAACAACUGCUCUACUUGGAUAAGAAAGCCAUCCGAGGGAAUUUAGGCAACCAAGUGAUGUUUUUAUAAUCUCUUGAUUCCAAGUAAGUUUUAAGUAGUUCUACAAAUUCUCGAAAUAAAAAAAAACCAUCUAAGAAAGUUAUCCUAAUCUUUCAAAAUUGUUCACUGCAGACUCCGAGACGUAACAUUCAGCAGAAUAUAGAGAAGUUUUAGAGAGGUGUGUGUUUUCAAGGUUUUGAAUAGGGAAUCUGUCUAACGACUCAACUAUUCCAAGUAAUGAUUUCGGAUAUAUACUAUUUGAUAUUUUUGGGUGUUGUUCUACUUCUUGACAAUGGUAGCUACUGGUCAACAAGCAGAUGAAAGGCAAUGACUUCAACCUCUGCUUUUCUCAGUUUAAAUCUAUAGAUUUGGUAUUAGUAUUGGGUCCAUGAUGAUCCUUUCUUGCGUGUAGACAGUGGAUAGCGUGAUUGAAACUGGAGAUAGUGAGCAUACUUUUCAGAAAGCAAUCAUGGAGCAAGGAAGAGGGCAGGUUGGUAUUUAGGUUUCGGCAAUAGCGUGACUACCUGUGCAAUAAAACAAUUGUUACGUGUAUCUCCAGUUAGGUUUUUCCUACUUCCGUGCAUGCAGAUAAUAAAUAUUGGAUACACUGGCUGAGAUUCAGGAAUGGCUUUCUGAGCCUUAGAGAAGAAACUUCUCCACAUUGUAGGUUAUAAUAAAAAUGCUGAAUCUGAAGGUGUCAAACAAGAUGCUAAAUUAAUGAAUGCUUCUGAAAUCGGUAAGAGGUUCUUCACAUCCUACUCUUUUUCUCCUGGGUACAAAUUUUUUUGGUAAUUAAAGCUUUUUAAUGUGUGUUCAGUCCAGGUUCUACGAAUUGGGAAGAGAUGGAAGAGUUUCAAAGCCAGACGUAAGGUAACUCUAUCUAAAUAUGUGUUAUUAGAAACCAUGAACCGUUUACAUGGAGUGAUAUUUUUCAAGAACAUUAGUAUCUAAAAGGUUUUUUGGCGCAUCUAUAUAUUAACCGUUUCCCCCCACGAACUAACAUUAACGUUGUGGCCAUACAAGUCCAUGCUGUUUCCUGAGAAAGUCCCCCAAGAACAUUAGUGACGAUUUCUGUUUCCUGAGAAAGUCCAUGCUACAUUUAGGACAAACAUCAACGUUGUGGCCAUACAAGUUUCCUCAGUUAAUUAUUUGUUUAUCUGGUAGAGCAGCAGUGUAACCACAACAUAUGGUGAGGCACUGAAAAUAUGUAGUAUGACCCCAGAAGGAAUAAUGAGACAAUCUUUUCGACCUUACAAUUUACAAAUAAGAAAUUGGGACCAUUGAGUUCUCUAUGCCAUUGAGCUCUAUAUAUAGUAAGCUUGGUGUAAACCUAUUGUACUUUACUUGCAGUAGAUUUGGAGGAAUCUCACUUAUAUUGACGAGAGAAGACAAUGGGUAGCCAAGAUAGAGGACAUACUUUCUUACUAACACCACCAGUAAAGGUAUCCUUCCAAGUCUGUUGAGACCUAGCUCCAAGCCCCCUUCAACUAUGUGGCCGCCACUCUUUAUAUUCCACCAAAUGUCUCUUACAAUAUUACCAAGGAAAGAAGCUUGCUCUACAGUUUUCUACGGUGGUUCUCACAUAGUUGUAACUUUCUAAUUAACACUAAUAAAGGCUGCAGAAAUCUGAAUAUUAUCAAUAGUUGUAACACUAAUAGUGUAACUUUCUAACUCUAACUUCUUCUAGCUAAGUCAAGAAAUCAGAAUAUUAUCAAUAGACCAAAGAGAAUAAGUGGAAAACAAAGAGUAGAGAAGUCCUAAGAUGCAGAUGGUGGAGAAAAAAAUGAUGAAAAGGCAAUACUCAAGCGGACUACUCAUAAGAAGAAAAACAAAAUAUGUAUAUUUUUAGUGUUCUUCGUCUGACUCUAGAGGCCAAAGUUCCAAUGGAAGUAGAGGAAACAGAGAAGGAUAAUGCGAGAUAUGAGUUGAGGAGAGGUUUAUCUCUUCUUCUACAUGUCUCUGUGUUUGAAGAAGUUUGUAGAUGUUGUUCUCACGUAUCUUAUGCCAUUCUAACAUGUAAAACAUUUAUUUUAAUUGAUUUUUAACUAAACAAUAAUCUUCCUCUCCAAUCUUUAAAAAAUAUAAUGUUUUGACAUUUAAAUAAAUAUGAAAUGUUUUUAAAUUAACAGUCUCUAAAAUUUGAAUCGCAAUUUAUUAAAUUUCAUCAUUUGAAUUCUUCUGUAAGAAAAAAACAUUAAUAUAUAUAUAAGGAAAAUAUAUUUUAUUACUUCAAUAAUUCUUCUAUAUGAUAUUAUUAGUAGAGUUUGCUGCUACUAAUAAUUUAUUGUUUUCGGUACAAAUAGCAUUCAUAUUUCUGAGUUAGUAGUACAAUUGUUUUUCUUGAUUAGUAGUGCAAUCUUUUUUAUUACAGAAAAUUCAUAUCAUAAAUUCAUUUUGACUGUCAAAAAAUAAUACUAUUUUCCAAAAAUGGUAAAAAAAUGUAAUUCAUUUUCUAAACAAUAUAAUUACAUUUUCAAGUUACUGAAAAUUUUUAGUUAGAUGAUUUAUUUUUUCGCAUAGGUUACAUACUAUUAUACUAUAAAAUUAUACCCAUAUCACAUGUAAAUAUAUUCUGAAUUAUAUAUUUCAUUCAAAAGUUAAUUUAAGAUUGUUUGGAAAAAACAUAACAUAAGUGUAACAAUUAAAAUACAUAAUCCUUGCAUGUUGAUGAAGUGAUUAAGUUUCUUCGAGGGCUGAUGUAGUAUUUAUGUUAAAUUAUUUCUAAAUUAUCUUUGUUUGUUCCUCAAAGUUUGGAAAAUAGAUAUAUGUCGCCUUAGUCGUGUUUGUUAAUGAAUAUUUUUAUAAAAUUUGAUCAGUUUAGUAUGAUUAAUAUACACAAAAAUACUUUAUAUCACAAUUUGAAUAACAAAAUUGCCCGUAAAAAUACUACUAUCAAACGUCAUCAUCACGGGACAUUCAUCUUUACUUGGAGAUACCUAAAACCACUUAUUAACCAUUCUUUUAAGAUUAUCACAACAAAAUCAAUAAUAACAUGUUGAAAGGUAAUUUUUCGCGCGUAGCGCGGACAAAUAGAUCUAGUCUACUUUAAAUUUGUAAAAAGAAAAUCAAAUGAAAUGAAACAAAAUAUAACAUAUUGAAAUAUACUCCAUAUGAGCUUCAAUUUUAUGAAAGUUGUAAGAGUGCCAAAAUGCAAUUUUUUUGCUAAUUGAACCUUUUAUUAAACUCUU